rnacentral:rRNA from 1 species
CAAGGGGGUCAUCCCGACUUACCAACCCGAUGCAAACUGCGAAUACCGGAGAAUGUUAUCACGGGAGACACACGGCGGGUGCUAACGUCCGUCGUGAAGAGGGAAACAACCCAGACCGCCAGCUAAGGUCCCAAAGUCAUGGUUAAGUGGGAAACGAUGUGGGAAGGCCCAGACAGCCAGGAUGUUGGCUUAGAAGCAGCCAUCAUUUAAAGAAAGCGUAAUAGCUCACUGGUCGAGUCGGCCUGCGCGGAAGAUGUAACGGGGCUAAACCAUGCACCGAAGCUGCGGCAGCGACACUAUGUGUUGUUGGGUAGGGGAGCG